rnacentral:rRNA from 1 species
AUUACCGUACUCGCGUAAUGCAUCUAGAUUNGACGUUGGAUCUAUGGCUCANCAGNUGAACGCUCGGCGUGUCAAGCCUAACACAUGCAAGUCGAACGGCUGCACAGGAGAGCUUGCUCUCUGGGUGGCGAGUGGCGGACGGGUGAGGAAUACAUCGGAAUCUACUCUGUCGUGGGGGAUAACGUAGGGAAACUUACGCUAAUACCGCAUACGACCUACGGGUGAAAGCAGGGGAUCUUCGGACCUUGCGCGAUUGAAUGAGCCGAUGUCGGAUUAGCUAGUUGGCGGGGUAAAGGCCCACCAAGGCGACGAUCCGUAGCUGGUCUGAGAGGAUGAUCAGCCACACUGGAACCCUUGGAAGAACACGGUCCAGACUCCUACGGGAGGCAGCUGGGGAUAUGGUGGGGUGUUGUU